rnacentral:lncRNA from 1 species
AUAUGAUGAUAAUAUAAUCAAGUAUAAAGUAGUCAAACUGACAAAAACAUUCAAUAAAAAAAUUUCUGCUUACCCAACUCGUUUUUUUUCUUACGACACGACACUCAAAUUUGGAUUUUUCAUGCCGCCAAGGCAACACAAAAUAGACGAAAAUAUUCCCACCCUUUCUUUUUUUGCUUUUUUUUAUUUUAUUUUUAGAGGGAGGAGUUUCUUUUUUUCUUUUUUGGAUUGGAUCUAUCUUUUCCAUUUAUUUUGUAUAGUAUCUCAAAACACACACUAUCUAAAUUUUUCUAUUAUCUAUUGAAAUAAAAAGUCAAUUUUCAGUCACAAACUCAAAAAUUAAGGACAAAUUGGAACCAUUAACUAUUAACUGUGAAUUCAUAAACGAUUCUUGGAUUUCAAUCAAAAAUUGUAUUUCUCUAAUCCUAAUGAUAUAAGAAAAUCAAAAUUGAUACGUAACCAAUCCGUAUUGAUUCUUUUCAAUAAAAAAAAAUUCUUCUCAGUUUCAAUUAUAACAACAAUUAUGAGUAUAUGUAAACCCUAGAACAUAAAAUUUUAUGCGGAUAUUUAUCUUAUCUGUCUAUGAUUCCUAUAGGAAAAUUUCUAUUCAAUGAAAAUGGAAUAUAAAUUUUGAUAGAGCAUGACAUGCGCUGUCCAAAAUAGAACUGCAGUAAAAGGAGAGACGUAUAUAUAGUAUAGAUAGCUAUAAUUAUGAGAUAGCUAUAGUUAUGCCCGCAUAUGUUUAAUAAGCCUUCUUAUGUUUGUUUUAUGUUAUGCACUUCAAUUGUAUUAUAUGAACUCGAUUAAAAAAAAGAUACUCAGACUUAUUUCUCUCAUUCUAUCAAACUAAUCUUAUUCUUGGAUCUUGUUCGUAAGAUUUCUAAAAAUCAAUAUUUUUACGUAUUCUUCUAAUUUCUAUAUGCAUUAAACUAUUACAGUAUCCUAUAUUUUAUUAUUUUAUAUUUUAUUCUUUCUCGCCAACUUUCUUAUAUUUUCUUUUUGCCAUUUUUGUUAUAUUUCUUUUUCCUUCAGAUAAAAUAAAAAAGAAAUCAGAUAAAAUAAAUAAAUAAAAAACCAAAAUAUUUUGUAGGUCAAAGCAAGAAAGACGCUUCGAAUAGUUUUUUUAUUUACUUGACUUUAUAUCUAUCAGAAAAGAAGAAAGAGAAUGAAUUUUCCUAUUAUUAAAUUCAAUACAAUAUUAAAUAAAUAGAAAACUUUAAAUGAAAGGAUUUAAAAAUGAAAGUAUUUUUCUCAUACCUAUUCUACAUUACAUUGUCGGAAUAAAAAUAUUGUAUGUAUCAAUACCAAAAUAUUUGGUACAGGAAGCCAUGAUCUGAUAGAUAUAUCAAUCUUAUUAUAUAUAAAUCUUAUAUACCUAUAAAUAGCAAUAUAAAUUGAUUUUAUGUCCUGGAAUCAAAGAAAGAUAUUUAAAAAGUAUCUUCUAUGUCUUAUGUUGUAACUUCGAAUAAACUUUUCUAUGGAGGAGGGAAAUAGUUAUUUAUUCCUAUAGAAUAACUAGGAGCAAGAAGAUUUAAUCAGAAAUAUUGACAGACUUUUUGGAGUCCAAAGAAAACGAAAUAUGAAAAGGAAAGAAAAAGCAGAGCUACUGUUUCAAUUUCAUCUAUAUCGAAUUUUACUAUCAGAAUAGUAGAUAUAGUUAUGAUGCAAUAAGUUAGGUCCACUUACUUUUUCUUUUAUUGAUUUCUAAUAUAAUCUUUAGAAUUGAUUUGAUUGGAAUAGAAUAAUGGAAAAUAAGAAAGUUUUACGAUUUAAGAGCCAAUUUCUCAUUAUUCUGUUUAAUAUAAUAAACAAAUGUUCAACUUUAUAACUAUAUUCUAUAAUAUAUUCUAUAAUUAUAUAAUUAUAGAAUAUAUUUUUAAUAUAGAAUUAAAAUGAAUAUUUUCUAACUAUAUGAAAUAGAAUAUAAUCAAAAUAUACUCUAUUACUAUUACUCUAUUUUAUAUUUUAUAUAGUAAAAACUUAUAUACUAAAAAUCAUUAUAAAAAAUUAUUAUAAUAUUCGUUUAAUAGAGUUUUAAUAGAGUAUUGAUAUGGUAUAACUUAUUAUAAUGUAUAAUGUUAAUUUUCAAAAAUUUCUAAUUUCCAUUUUAGAAUUAAUUUAAAUUCUAGAGUUUCUUACUUUUUUAUGACAAAUAUCAACAAUAUUUCUAUUCCCUCUUCAAAUAGAAAUAUUAUCAAAUAGGAAUAUUAUCGCAGGUUUUUUCUUUUUAUUUCUUUUUAUUUCUUUUUAUUAAAAUUAAAAAGAAAAAAAGGCCAAAGCCCCUUAUCGGAUUUGAACCGAUGACUUACGCCUUACCAUGGUGUUACUCUACCACUGAGUUGAAAAGGCCCGUUUGAUUCAAUUCCUGAAUGAGCUACUAUGUGGAUAAGAUAGAUCUAUAUAAAAAAAAAUAAGUAAAUAAAUAAAGUAAAUCUAUAAAUCUAUUUUAAUAUUUUAAUAUUUUAAUAUAUUUUAAUAUAAUAAUUUGAUUUUUAAUAUA